GGAGAGAUGCCUGAGUGGCCGAAAGGGACGGUUUGCUAAACCGUUGUAGGGGUUUAAAUCCUUACCGAGGGUUCGAAUCCCUCUCUCUCCGCCA
rnacentral:tRNA from 1 species